GCUCUACUCCUUACUCAUAACACAGGGCUGGUGCCAAGUGGAAUUAUUUAAUCUGCAUGUGAAUUGAAUUGUAUGCUUAUUGAUGCUGACAUGGCAAGUGGGGCCUGAAGAUGGGCUUGAUAAUAUUUCUUGAAAUCAUUUUGUCCAAACUGUAUUCACUUUUUUGAGGGGUUCCUCAUUAGUUGGAUCCACAUGGUACAUCACCUUUUUUUUU
rnacentral:misc_RNA from 1 species